GACGAACGCUGGCGGCGUGCCUAAUACAUGCAAGUCGAGCGAGACUCUUCGGAGUCUAGCGGCGGACGGGUGAGUAACACGUGGGCAACCUGCCUGUAAGACUGGGAUAACACCGGGAAACCGGUGCUAAUACCGGAUAAUCCUUUUCCUCUCAUGAGGGAAAGCUGAAAGUCGGUUUCGGCUGACACUUACAGAUGGGCCCGCGGCGCAUUAGCUAGUUGGUGAGGUAACGGCUCACCAAGGCGACGAUGCGUAGCCGACCUGAGAGGGUGAUCGGCCACACUGGGACUGAGACACGGCCCAGACUCCUACGGGAGGCAGCAGUAGGGAAUCUUCCACAAUGGACGAAAGUCUGAUGGAGCAACGCCGCGUGAGCGAUGAAGGCCUUCGGGUCGUAAAGCUCUGUUGUUAGGGAAGAACAAGUACCGGAGUAACUGCCGGUACCAUGACGGUACCUAACCAGAAAGCCACGGCUAACUACGUGCCAGCCGCCGCGGUAAAAC
rnacentral:rRNA from 1 species